AAAAAAAAAAUAAAAAAAAAUAACGGAUAAUAACAAACCGUACGCGUAAACGCGGCCGCGGCGCGGUCGGCGCGUACGCGUUUUAAAAACAUCGCGCACGUAUCGUUUGUAUCGCGUACCUCGUACGGCCGAAUAAUACGUAUGUUACGUCGUGGCGAGAGAGAGAGAGACAGAGACAAAACCCGCGAGCGCGUUUUCGAUACAAUAAUAAUAAUAAUAACAAUAACAAUAACAAUAAUAACAAUAAUACUGUAUAAUAUUUUUUUGGGAAUUACGCGAUUCGUCCCGGUUGUCCGAUUUCUCGUCUCUCCCGACAAU